rnacentral:rRNA from 2 species
GGUUAAGCGACUAAGCGUACACGGUGGAUGCCCUGGCAGUCAGAGGCGAUGAAGGACGUGCUAAUCUGCGAAAAGCGUCGGUAAGGUGAUAUGAACCGUUAUAGCCGGCGAUGUCCGAAUGGGGAAACCCAGUGCAAUUCGUUGCACUAUCGUUAACUGAAUACAUAGGUUAACGAGGCGAACCGGGGGAACUGAAACAUCUAAGUACCCCGAGGAAAAGAAAUCAACCGAGAUUCCCCCAGUAGCGGCGAGCGAACGGGGAGCAGCCCAGAGUCUGAAUCAGCUUGUGUGUUAGUGGAACGGUCUGGAAAGUCCGACGGUACAGGGUGAUAGUCCCGUACACCAAAAUGCACAGGCUGUGAACUCGAAGAGUAGGGCGGGACACGUGGUAUCCUGUCUGAAUAUGGGGGGACCAUCCUCCAAGGCUAAAUACUCCUGACUGACCGAUAGUGAACCAGUACCGUGAGGGAAAGGCGAAAAGAACCCCGGCGAGGGGAGUGAAAAAGAACCUGAAACCGUGUACGUACAAGCAGUGGGAGCACCUUCGGGUGUGACUGCGUACCUUUUGUAUAAUGGGUCAGCGACUUAUAUUCUGUAGCAAGGUUAACCGUAUAGGGGAGCCGCAGGGAAACCGAGUCUUAACUGGGCGUUAAGUUGCAGGGUAUAGACCCGAAACCCGGUGAUCUAGCCAUGGGCAGGUUGAAGGUUGGGUAACACUAACUGGAGGACCGAACCGACUAAUGUUGAAAAAUUAGCGGAUGACUUGUGGCUGGGGGUGAAAGGCCAAUCAAACCGGGAGAUAGCUGGUUCUCCCCGAAAGCUAUUUAGGUAGCGCCUCGUGAAUUCAUCUUCGGGGGUAGAGCACUGUUUCGGCUAGGGGGUCAUCCCGACUUACCAACCCGAUGCAAACUACGAAUACCGAAGAAUGUUAUCACGGGAGACACACGGCGGGUGCUAACGUCCGUCGUGAAGAGGGAAACAACCCAGACCGCCAGCUAAGGUCCCAAAGUCAUGGUUAAGUGGGAAACGAUGUGGGAAGGCACAGACAGCCAGGAUGUUGGCUUAGAAGCAGCCAUCAUUUAAAGAAAGCGUAAUAGCUCACUGGUCGAGUCGGCCUGCGCGGAAGAUGUAACGGGGCUAAACCAUGCACCGAAGCUGCGGCAGCGACACUAUGUGUUGUUGGGUAGGGGAGCGUUCUGUAAGCCUGCGAAGGUGACCUGUGAGGGUUGCUGGAGGUAUCAGAAGUGCGAAUGCUGACAUAAGUAACGAUAAAGCGGGUGAAAAGCCCGCUCGCCGGAAGACCAAGGGUUCCUGUCCAACGUUAAUCGGGGCAGGGUGAGUCGACCCCUAAGGCGAGGCCGAAAGGCGUAGUCGAUGGGAAACAGGUUAAUAUUCCUGUACUUGGUGUUACUGCGAAGGGGGGACGGAGAAGGCUAUGUUAGCCGGGCGACGGUUGUCCCGGUUUAAGCAUGUAGGCUGGUUAUCCAGGCAAAUCCGGAUAAUCAAGGCUGAGGUGUGAUGACGAGGCACUACGGUGCUGAAGUAACAAAUGCCCUGCUUCCAGGAAAAGCCUCUAAGCAUCAGGUAACAUCAAAUCGUACCCCAAACCGACACAGGUGGUCAGGUAGAGAAUACCAAGGCGCUUGAGAGAACUCGGGUGAAGGAACUAGGCAAAAUGGUGCCGUAACUUCGGGAGAAGGCACGCUGGUGUGUAGGUGAAGUCCCUGCGGAUGGAGCUGAGACCAGUCGAAGAUACCAGCUGGCUGCAACUGUUUAUUAAAAACACAGCACUGUGCAAACACGAAAGUGGACGUAUACGGUGUGACGCCUGCCCGGUGCCGGAAGGUUAAUUGAUGGGGUUAUCCGUAAGGAGAAGCUCUUGAUCGAAGCCCCGGUAAACGGCGGCCGUAACUAUAACGGUCCUAAGGUAGCGAAAUUCCUUGUCGGGUAAGUUCCGACCUGCACGAAUGGCGUAAUGAUGGCCAGGCUGUCUCCACCCGAGACUCAGUGAAAUUGAACUCGCUGUGAAGAUGCAGUGUACCCGCGGCAAGACGGAAAGACCCCGUGAACCUUUACUAUAGCUUGACACUGAACAUUGAGCCUUGAUGUGUAGGAUAGGUGGGAGGCUUUGAAGCGUGGACGCCAGUCUGCGUGGAGCCAACCUUGAAAUACCACCCUUUAAUGUUUGAUGUUCUAACGUUGGCCCCUUACCGGGGUUGCGGACAGUGUCUGGUGGGUAGUUUGACUGGGGCGGUCUCCUCCCAAAGCGUAACGGAGGAGCACGAAGGUUAGCUAAUCCUGGUCGGACAUCAGGAGGUUAGUGCAAUGGCAUAAGCUAGCUUGACUGCGAGCGUGACGGCGCGAGCAGGUGCGAAAGCAGGUCAUAGUGAUCCGGUGGUUCUGAAUGGAAGGGCCAUCGCUCAACGGAUAAAAGGUACUCCGGGGAUAACAGGCUGAUACCGCCCAAGAGUUCAUAUCGACGGCGGUGUUUGGCACCUCGAUGUCGGCUCAUCACAUCCUGGGGCUGAAGUAGGUCCCAAGGGUAUGGCUGUUCGCCAUUUAAAGUGGUACGCGAGCUGGGUUUAGAACGUCGUGAGACAGUUCGGUCCCUAUCUGCCGUGGGCGCUGGAGAAUUGAGGGGGGCUGCUCCUAGUACGAGAGGACCGGAGUGGACGCAUCACUGGUGUUCGGGUUGUCAUGCCAAUGGCACUGCCCGGUAGCUAAAUGCGGAAGAGAUAAGUGCUGAAAGCAUCUAAGCACGAAACUUGCCCCGAGAUGAGUUCUCCCUGAGACUUUAAGUCUCCUGAAGGAACGUUAAAGACGAUGACGUUGAUAGGCCGGGUGUGUAAGCGCAGCGAUGCGUUGAGCUAACCGGUACUAAUGAACCGUGAGGCUUAACCUU